rnacentral:tRNA from 1 species
GGUCCAGAUGUGCCAAAUUGCAAAUUUGGUUUUGGGUUGAUUCCCCUUGGACUU